GCCCUGGCAGUCAGAGGCGAUGAAGGACGUGCUAAUCUGCGAUAAGCGUCGGUAAGGUGAUAUGAACCGUUAUAACCGGCGAUUUCCGAAUGGGGAAACCCAGUGUGUUUCGACACACUAUCAUUAACUGAAUCCAUAGGUUAAUGAGGCGAACCGGGGGAACUGAAACAUCUAAGUACCCCGAGGAAAAGAAAUCAACCGAGAUUCCCCCAGUAGCGGCGAGCGAACGGGGAGGAGCCCAGAGCCUGAAUCAGUGUGUGUGUUAGUGGAAGCGUCUGGAAAGGCGCGCGAUACAGGGUGACAGCCCCGUACACAAAAAUGCACAUGCUGUGAGCUCGAUGAGUAGGGCGGGACACGUGGUAUCCUGUCUGAAUAUGGGGGGACCAUCCUCCAAGGCUAAAUACUCCUGACUGACCGAUAGUGAACCAGUACCGUGAGGGAAAGGCGAAAAGAACCCCGGCGAGGGGAGUGAAAAAGAACCUGAAACCGUGUACGUACAAGCAGUGGGAGCCUCUUUUAUGGGGUGACUGCGUACCUUUUGUAUAAUGGGUCAGCGACUUAUAUUCUGUAGCAAGGUUAACCGAAUAGGGGAGCCGAAGGGAAACCGAGUCUUAACUGGGCGUUAAGUUGCAGGGUAUAGACCCGAAACCCGGUGAUCUAGCCAUGGGCAGGUUGAAGGUUGGGUAACACUAACUGGAGGACCGAACCGACUAAUGUUGAAAAAUUAGCGGAUGACUUGUGGCUGGGGGUGAAAGGCCAAUCAAACCGGGAGAUAGCUGGUUCUCCCCGAAAGCUAUUUAGGUAGCGCCUCGUGAAUUCAUCUCCGGGGGUAGAGCACUGUUUCGGCAAGGGGGUCAUCCCGACUUACCAACCCGAUGCAAACUGCGAAUACCGGAGAAUGUUAUCACGGGAGACACACGGCGGGUGCUAACGUCCGUCGUGAAGAGGGAAACAACCCAGACCGCCAGCUAAGGUCCCAAAGUCAUGGUUAAGUGGGAAACGAUGUGGGAAGGCCCAGACAGCCAGGAUGUUGGCUUAGAAGCAGCCAUCAUUUAAAGAAAGCGUAAUAGCUCACUGGUCGAGUCGGCCUGCGCGGAAGAUGUAACGGGGCUAAACCAUGCAC
rnacentral:rRNA from 1 species